rnacentral:miRNA from 1 species
UUCAUAUAUGUGUGUGUGUGUGUGUGUGUGUGUCUGUGUGUGUGUGUGUAUACACACACACAUGCACACACACACACACACACACAGACAC